rnacentral:misc_RNA from 1 species
UGCCAGAGAUGGGAUGCAAGAAAAGGACUGGUUGUCUCUUGUUGCUGUUCACAGCGAUGCAUGGUUACUUGCUGUGGCCUUCUAUUUUGGAGCUAGGUUUGGAUUUGACAAAGCUGAUAGGAAACGCCUUUUCAACAUGAUAAAUGAGCUUCCAACAAUAUUUGAGGUUGUGACAGGAACAGGCAAGAAACAAGUAAAAGAGAAGUCCUCAGUUUCAAAUCAUAGCAGCAAUAAAUCCAAAUCAAAUUCUAAGAGGGGAUCUGAAUCUCAGGGCAAGUAUUCAAAGGCAAUGCAGUCGAAGGAUGAGGAUGAUGAGGGCAUUGAAGAAGAGGAAGAAGAGGAGCAUGGGGAGACAUUAUGCGGUGCUUGUGGAGAAAAUUAUGCAUCUGAUGAAUUCUGGAUUUGCUGUGACAUUUGUGAGAAGUGGUUCCAUGGGAAGUGUGUUAAGAUCACUCCAGCUAGAGCCGAGCACAUUAAGCAGUACAAAUGCCCUUCUUGCAGCAACAAGAGAGCUCGACCUUGAUGAAGGCAAGGAGCAGAUCUGUGUAUUAUGGCAUGAUGGAACUGCUUAGUAGGUCUGGUUUGUUUGUAGUCAUGGCUCUUCCUUAAUCUAGGAAAUCUAUUCAAAUAUGUGUAGGUUGCAAAUGUGCUGUCUAUUUGGUCAUAAAAUUAGGAUAUUUAUGAACUCAGGUCGGGAAUUAUUGCCCCCAUGACUGGGAGAAAGGUUUGUUUUAUGUUUGUCGACUUGUGUUUAUGUGCAAUCUGUCCAGUCCAGUUCUUCAUGAA